GCGCACCAGGCGAGAAACCUCCGCAAUGCUCGAAAGAGCGACGGGGGGACUCCAAGUGCCUACGCUCAGCGUAGGCUGUUCCCGAGCCUAAAAAGCUCGUGGAGUAAGGGCUGGGUAAGACGGGUGCCAGCCGCCGCGGUAAUACCCGCAGCCCGAGUGGUGGCCGCUAUUAUUGGGCCUAAAGCGUCCGUAGCCGGCUCGGUAAAUGCCUGGGUAAAUCGUCUGGCCCAACCAGACGAAUUCCGGGUAGACUGCCGGGCUAGGGACCGGAGGAGGGAGAGGGUACUCCAGGGGUAGGGGUGAAAUCAGCAAGGUGAGUUGCUGAUGUAACUUGCCUUGCAAGUCACAAUCCUGUAAUCCCUGGAGGACCACCGGUGGCGAAGGCGCUCUCCUAGGACGGGUCCGACGGUGAGGGACGAAAGCCAGGGGAGCAAACCGGAUUAGA
rnacentral:rRNA from 1 species